rnacentral:rRNA from 1 species
AUUGAACGCUGGCGGCAGGCCUAACACAUGCAAGUCGAGCGGAGCGGCGGACGGGUGAGUAAUGCCUAGGAAUCUGCCUGGUAGUGGGGGAUAACGUCCGGAAACGGGCGCUAAUACCGCAUACUAUCAGAUUCGCCUAGGUCGGAUUAGGUAGUUGGUGGGGUAAAGGCCUACCAAGGCGACGAUGCGUAACUGGUCUGAGAGGAUGAACAGUCACACUGGAACUGAGACACGGGCCAGACGGUUAAGGGAGGCAGCAGUGGUGAAUGUUGGAAAAUGGGCAAAAUCCUGAUCCAGCCAUGCCGGGUGUGUGAAGAAGGUCUUCGGAUUGUAAAGCACUUUAAGUUGGGAGGCGGUACCAACAGAAUAAGCACCGGCUAACUACGUGCCAGCAGCCGCGGUAAUAC